UACAGCGGUCUCAAGCGUUGUUCGGAUUCAUUGGGCGUAAAGGGUGCGUAGGCGGCGCGGUAAGUCGGGUGUGAAAUCUCGGAGCUUAACUCCGAAACUGCAUUCGAUACUGCCGUGCUUGAGGUCUGGAGAGGAGACUGGAAUUUACGGUGUAGCGGUGAAAUGCGUAGAUAUCGUAAGGAAGACCAGUGGCGAAGGCGGGUCUCUGGACAGUUCCUGACGCUGAGGCACGAAGGUCAGGGGAGCAAACGGG
rnacentral:rRNA from 1 species